UAAUUUUCUUUUGUCAUUUUCUUUUUUCUCUUUCUCUCACUCUUUUCUUACCUCUUCGUAAGCUCUGAUUCUUCUCUUUCACUCUCUUUGUCUCUGUCUCUUUCUCUCAUCUUCUUCUACAUGCCUCAAACAAUUUUUUUCUCAACCACUAUCACCAUAAACGAAUCUGUCUCAACCAACAUCACCAUAACCUAAUAUGUCUCAACCCCAUCAGCUCAAGCGAAAUCUGUCUCCUUUAUUUCCGAAUUUGUGUAAGUUGUUUUCGUUUAGACUCUCUCUAUUCAUCGUUGAUUCUAUCCUUAGAUAUGUUGAUAACAUUCAUUUUGUAUGUGUUUACAUACUGAUUUGCUUUAAUUGGAAUGUAUAUUAUCUGAUAAUCAAACUUAUUUAAUUAGAAUAUAUAUUAUCCGAUAAUCAAACUUUAUAAAUUUAAUUUACAGUCCAUUUAUUUGUGUAUUUAUGCUACUACUGUCCAACUAACAGUUUACAAUCAUUUUGACUAAGCCAAAGUGUACUCACAUAACAAGAAACAUUUGAUGCUUAAUGAACAUAACUUCUUUAUUCUUAAUUUAAACCAAUUUAUUCCAAAAUGUGUUUUAAUAAUAAAACUAUUCAACUAUUUUUGAAUUGUACUAAAUCCAUUAAUUAAUUUUUAAUGUUUUAAACUUUCAUUUACAAAUCGUUAAUGGAUGUAGACACAUUAAAAAUUUGUAAGUUGAGGGAUUACAACAUUAGAAAAAUAAUUAAUGAUUUUUUUUUACAAUUCAAAAAUAGUUGAAGGGUUUUAUCACUAAAAUCUCUUAUUUAAUUUAGAUUUAGGAAAUUAUUUGUCAAAAUAGGAAAAACAAAAAUUGAUUAAAUUUAGGUUUAGUUAUUACUUCAGUGGCUUAGAUCUGUAAAUAAGUUGCAAGUCUUAGGGUUAAUUCCAAAUAGUACUUCAGUUUUAAUAGUAUUGAUUGCCUAGCAAAAUGUGAAAUUCAACUUCUACUAUGAAUUAAAAAGCCAAAGAGAAACAAUGUUCAACACAGUAAGAAAAUGUUCCAUGGAAUCAUUACAUGGCUGAUUUAAAUGAUGUAAUUGGCUAAAAAAUUUAUGCUGAUGUGGACACUGUAAUGAUAAUACAGUAAAAAUUCAAUAAAUUAAUAUUCGAUAAAUUAAUAAACAUCAUAAUAAUAGAUCUUUCUGGUUUCAAGUGGAACCGAAUCAAAAUAUGACACAAAUCGAUAAGAUAGUAAGAUAAUAUUUUUAAAUUUUAUGUGUAUAUAUUUAUUUUCGAUCGUUAAUAAUAUUAUACACAAAAAUGAUAUAUGGUAUAGGAUUCUCUUGGUUUAAAAUUUGCUUGAAACUAAAUCAAAAAUACGUGUAAAUUAAGGUAAUAACCAAAAUCAAUGGUAAUCAUACAUACCAUAGAAAUUGUAUGUAAUCGUGUAAUUUUUUUUUUGAAAUUGGUAUCCAUACCAUUAAGAUUUGCAGAAAUGUCCACUGGUUAGAAAGUAUGGGGAUUAAACCCAUAAGGCCGAUUUGAUUUGUAUGUCCACAAGCCUGAUUUGCUUUUUAAAAAAACUGCAAAAAUAAUUAGUUGGUGACUAAAUUCAUAAACCCGAUUUAAUUUGUAGUGUUAAAUAUAUAGUUGUAAUUAUAUAAGCCAAAAAAUAAAAUUAAAACGUAAUGGAUGUUUUGCCGUUAAUAAGUGUUUAGUUCUCUUAGAAAUAGUAAUGGCAUAUUUGAAAAAAAAAUAGUAUUUCAUUAAAAGUAUACUUAUUACCUAACUAAAUAUAAUUUUGUUUAUAACUAUUUCAUUUAAUACUCUUUCAGUUUCUGAAUAAGUGUCACUUUGACAAUUUUCACAUAGACUAAAAAAAUAGCGGAAAUCUACGUAAAUUAUUAUUAAUUAAAUCUUUCUGACCAAUAAUAUUUGAGAUAAAUAAAAUUAUUUAUAAAACCAAUGCUGGUAAAAGAAUGUACAAAUCCAACUCCAAUAUAUAACAAGAACAAACAUUCUUGGUGAAAGAUUAAACAAAUAUGUAAACAAGUUUUCUUCCCUAUUUGAAUCUUUUCCAAAACAACCAUUUACCAUAAUCAGAGAGUCAGUAUAACACAUUGAGUAGCUGCCGUUGCUUCGCUUCAUCUGAGCGUAGUGAGUAGAUAUCCGAUGGAGCUGUGAUGCCUCCUUGCUGGAUCAGUUUACCAUUCUUCGGUUUGUGUUGAUCGAGAUAAACAACAACGACGCUUAUGUCGUCAUGGAAAUGUCUUCGAACCCCUCUGGCGAUUUUCUUCAUAUCUCCAUAUCUCAUUUCUCUCUUCUUUGCAGCUUCCUCGAGAGCUGCUCUUACAAGUCUUCGUGCGAUUCCCUGUAGACCACAGAGAGUUAGAAAUCUAAAAAGUAGCUGACACAAAAGAG
rnacentral:lncRNA from 1 species